CUGAGACCACCAUGCUGUGAAAGGCUAAACCACAGAGAGUGAUGACAUGGGAUGUAGCAAGAAAGAAAAAGAGAGAGGACAAGGAGGAAUGAGGCACCAGAUGCAUGAGGAAGCCAUCAUGGACGUCCAGCCUAGUUGAACUUUCAGAUGGUCCAGCUCCCCCCACCAAUGACUACACCUGCAUGACAGACUCUAAGUAAGAACCACCUGGUGAAGCCUGGCGAACCCACAGAGCCAUGAAAGAUAAGAAUAAACUGCUUUUAAGCCACUAAGCUUGAGGGUGGUUUGUUAGGAAGCAAUGGAUAAUGGGAACAGAACUAAAUACAAAAUUACCUAUUAUGACUACAUAAUCAAACAAGAAGUAGAGUAUAAUUUGAGAGUCAUAACUAGGAACGUACACUUGCCUUUAGAAAGCAGGUCUGAGGACUUCAUGGAAUGCUCUCUGCAUAAUUAUGUUUAGGCUGAGACCUGAACAGUGAGUAGAAGAAAGAAAAACACAAGAGGGGAAGAGUUUGGGGCAGAAAGAACAGCCCAAGCAAAGUCCUGAGGAUGGGGAUGUGCUCAUACAUUCUAGGAAGGGAGAGAAGCGUUUUCAUGACCACCGUUUAGAUGGACAGAUGCCCACUGCUGUCCCCACCCGACACACCAAACACGUAAGAAAGACGAGCUGCUUUCCAAGCACAGCUGUCGCAGAUGGGAGAUGCUCCGUGCCUCUGUCAUGAGGAGGGCUGCUGGCCGGGAGGGUGGACACACUGUGCAAAAAGGGAGACCAGCACUUUGCUGCCUGAGAAUUGCUCAUCCAUGACAAGGCACAGACAUCGAUCAGCAACUGCCAUUGCCUGCCCUGGUCUGAAAAGAUGAGAGGAGGAAAAGGAGAGAGCGUGCUACUGAGCAAUGAAUAAAAGCAUAAGUAUCACGGACCGCUAAUAUGUGCACUGUUAAGCACAAGAGUCUUAACAGUCAUGCCUCUUGCAUCAGUGCAACAUAAGUAAAUGACACACGUAAUCAACAAAAUGUCACCAAGCACAUUACGCUGAGCGCCCGAGUCACAGCUUGCAACCCCUGACAUGGUAUGAGUGUUUAGUUAAGUCUUUACAUUAGGUGUAACCUUACAUAAAAUGUAACCUUUACAUUAAGUGAUCUGCUGAGCAUGGAGCACUCAAAUUCUGUCACCAAUCAUGAUAUACUUUGCACAAACAUUUCCCUCCAUCUACUCCCCUACAGCUGAUUUUUUUUUCUUUUGAAAGUCCACACAAUUAUGAAUCUGAAAUACUGUCCAGAAGGAUAACUUCAUUGGGAUAUGAUAUGGAAAACUCUCUUAGAACCAAGAAUUUCAAUAUGCAUUCUCUCUCUGUGCAAAGCUCAUUUUGCCUCUUUGCUUAAUGAAAUUUCAAUUGGACUCAAUUUAUGUGUUUAUGUGCAACUAAUUCAUAAACAUAAUUGUUUUUUAACAUUUUUAUUUUUUUCCUUUUUCUCCCCAAAGACCCCCAGUACAUAGUUGUAUAUUCUUCGU